rnacentral:rRNA from 1 species
AAUGAACGCUGGCGGCGUGCUUAACACAUGCAAGUCGUACGAGAAAUCCUUGGCUUGCCAGGGAGAGUAAAGUGGCGCACGGGUGAGUAUCGCGUGGGUAAUCUACCCCUGGAUUCAGGAUAACACUUCGAAAGGGGUGCUAAUACUGGAUAACAUCCUGAUGGUUUAGGCCAUAAGGAUCAAAGAUAGCCUCUACAUGUAAGCUAUUGUACAGGGAUGAGCCCGCGUACCAUUAGCUAGUUGGUGGGGUAAGGGCCUACCAAGGCAACGAUGGUUAGCUGGUCUGAGAGGAUGAUCAGCCACACUGGAACUGAAACACGGUCCAGACUCCUACGGGAGGCAG